rnacentral:rRNA from 1 species
GAUGAACGCUGGCGGCGUGCCUAAUACAUGCAAGUCGAGCGAACGGACGAGAAGCUUGCUUCUCUGAUGUUAGCGGCGGACGGGUGAGUAACACGUGGAUAACCUACCUAUAAGACUGGGAUAACUUCGGGAAACCGUAGCUAAUACCGGAUAAUAUUUUGAACCGCAUGGUUCAAAAGUGAAAGACGGUCUUGCUGUCACUUAUAGAUGGAUCCGCGCUGCAUUAGCUAGUUGGUAAGGUAACGGCUUACCAAGGCAACGAUGCAUAGCCGACCUGAGAGGGUGAUCGGCCACACUGGAACUGAGACACGGUCCAGACUCCUACGGGAGGCAGCAGUAGGGAAUCUUCCGCAAUGGGCGAAAGCCUGACGGAGCAACGCCGCGUGAGUGAUGAAGGUCUUCGGAUCGUAAAACUCUGUUAUUAGGGAAGAACAUAUGUGUAAGUAACUGUGCACAUCUUGACGGUACCUAAUCAGAAAGCCACGGCUAACUACGUGCCAGCAGCCGCGGUAAUACGUAGGUGGCAAGCGUUAUCCGGAAUUAUUGGGCGUAAAGCGCGCGUAGGCGGUUUUUUAAGUCUGAUGUGAAAGCCCACGGCUCAACCGUGGAGGGUCAUUGGAAACUGGAAAACUUGAGUGCAGAAGAGGAAAGUGGAAUUCCAUGUGUAGCGGUGAAAUGCGCAGAGAUAUGGAGGAACACCAGUGGCGAAGGCGACUUUCUGGUCUGUAACUGACGCUGAUGUGCGAAAGCGUGGGGAUCAAACAGGAUUAGAUACCCUGGUAGUCCACGCCGUAAACGAUGAGUGCUAAGUGUUAGGGGGUUUCCGCCCCUUAGUGCUGCAGCUAACGCAUUAAGCACUCCGCCUGGGGAGUACGACCGCAAGGUUGAAACUCAAAGGAAUUGACGGGGACCCGCACAAGCGGUGGAGCAUGUGGUUUAAUUCGAAGCAACGCGAAGAACCUUACCAAAUCUUGACAUCCUUUGACAACUCUAGAGAUAGAGCCUUCCCCUUCGGGGGACAAAGUGACAGGUGGUGCAUGGUUGUCGUCAGCUCGUGUCGUGAGAUGUUGGGUUAAGUCCCGCAACGAGCGCAACCCUUAAGCUUAGUUGCCAUCAUUAAGUUGGGCACUCUAAGUUGACUGCCGGUGACAAACCGGAGGAAGGUGGGGAUGACGUCAAAUCAUCAUGCCCCUUACGAUUUGGGCUACACACGUGCUACAAUGGACAAUACAAAGGGCAGCGAAACCGCGAGGUCAAGCAAAUCCCAUAAAGUUGUUCUCAGUUCGGAUUGUAGUCUGCAACUCGACUACAUGAAGCUGGAAUCGCUAGUAAUCGUAGAUCAGCAUGCUACGGUGAAUACGUUCCCGG